UGAUUUGAGAACAUCUAAAACCAUAUAGCCACAUAACUGGAGAUGUACAUUCAAAAGAAGUUUUUGUUAUUCAUAAAUCUUCCUGGUGAUUUCAAAAUGGCCGCUUGGUCAGGCUGAGGGAGCGGGACAGGAAUUCAUGAGGCAGCACCCCAUGCUGCAUGAAGAAAGCGGAGCCAAGGUUGUAAGACAAACAGCAAAGCCAGUAAGAAGGUGUCGAAGAAUAAUGAUCCUAGCAUGGGUCCAAAAACAAGCCGUGUAAAUAAGAAAGAGUGUACAAGCAUAUCAGGGCUGAACAAUGCAAAGCAGUGAUGUGUGGUUCUCCAAUGCCAGGCUACACCUGAAAGCAGAAAUAACGAACCAAAGGAAAAGUGAUAAAGGAGAGAAGGAAAUUAACUCGUCGCAUCGUAAUACAAAGUGGUUUUGACUCAUUGUUUAAAUAUGAAAUGGCCUUACCAUUCCGGAUGAUCUCUGAAGUGCUUUCCAGAUUUUUAAGCCUGCGGUACUCUGGAAUGAACAUAGCUCAGUUGAAAAAUCGACAGUUCAGCUGAUCCACAAAAGAGGGUUUUUUGACAUCUCGGACAAUGCUUGUCCCGUGAUCACAAGUUGAAAAGUCAGUAGAACGAUGAUUCCGUUUCGGAGUCUCUCCGGAUGCCUCUAUUGGAUCAGAACACCGUCACGCAGACACUUGCUUGAGUCCCACGUAGCACUCCUGAUGCAUCAAUUGAUAUCUUUCUGUUUUCAGC
rnacentral:lncRNA from 1 species